AUUGAACGCUGGCGGCAGGCCUAACACAUGCAAGUCGAGCGGGGUUUUCGGACCUAGCGGCGGACGGGUGAGUAAUGCGUAGGAAGCUGCCCGAUAGAGGGGGAUACCAGUUGGAAACGACUGUUAAUACCGCAUAAUGUCUACGGACCAAAGUGUGGGACCUUCGGGCCACAUGCUAUCGGAUGCGCCUACGUGGGAUUAGCUAGUUGGUGAGGUAAUGGCUCACCAAGGCGACGAUCUCUAGCUGGUUUGAGAGGAUGAUCAGCCACACUGGAACUGAGACACGGUCCAGACUCCUACGGGAGGCAGCAGUGGGGAAUAUUGGACAAUGGGCGCAAGCCUGAUCCAGCCAUGCCGCGUGUGUGAAGAAGGCCUUCGGGUUGUAAAGCACUUUCAGCGAGGAGGAAGGGUGGUGUGUUAAUAGCACAUCAUUUUGACGUUACUCGCAGAAGAAGCACCGGCUAACUCUGUGCCAGCCGCCGCCGUAA
rnacentral:rRNA from 1 species